AAUAAUUUCAUAAAAGGAUACGUAUGUAAGGAUAGUAACCCUAAGAAUUGGUCAUAAAAUGAUCUUAAUACGGUAUUUAUUCUAUCUUAAUUUUCUUCUAACUUUUAUCCAACCUCGGUAAUUCUGCUACUCUGUAUCAAACAUUUAUCAAACAAGCUAAGAUUCCAAUUUCCUCAUUUUCAGAACUACGAUUCCCUUUAGAUCUUGCAGUUAAGAUCACAGGACGAUCAUUCGCCCGCACCUUCGCAGGAUACGCUUCCAAAGCUGUAUUUUAUACCAGGAUGGAAACGCGAUAUUUGGAAACGCGACGUAGAUAAGUGGAAUGCCCUGUACAGAGACGCGUUUGCAUACACGCCGGUGUAUAUCUAGAUGCUACAUGCAUCUGCGGCCGUCCGUUGAACGUGCAUGCACGCGAGUUUAACGAGUGCAGCAAAGGCUGGCGCCAAACGGCGAUCCUAACAUCGGCCAACCGAUUCGCGAUCUCUGCCUUCUACGAUAAUCCUCUGCGAUGGCAUACUGUUGUCCGCUGUGGAAACGUGAUCGAGCAUGAUCGAGCCUCGUGCUUACAGCCUAUCCUAAUAGAUAUCAUAAUGAACGUACAAAGUCGGGCAAAUACUGGCAUUGCAUAGGUCUGGAGAAUGGGAAUAUUGUGAUAGGUAUAUUACUACAGAAUUAUACAUCAUAUCUUUUAUAGAAAAUAUUUUUGAUAGCUGUAAGUGUUAAUUAUUAAUGUGGAAAGUAUUUUUAAGGUCUAAAGGAAAUUUCUAUCGUUGGUACUGAAAAUGAUUUACAUAUAUCUGAAAUUUUGAGGAAAACUGGCUAUUAUUAAAUACAGAAGUGACAGUAGAGAGAAGGAAACGGUACGUGUAAGGGGCCACGAGACUAUUUUUCACUCAUGAAUGAAGCGAUGCGAACGUAAAAGUACUUUAUCCAUCAUAUUCGUUAUCAAGGACAUGACAAUGCACAGAGUAUUUUUACCACAGAAUUUCCAGCUCUGAGAGUAUCCUACAAUCCCUAGUGUUCCAGCACGUAUCACGAGUAUUUAUAUAUUAUAAUUGUUACACACAGAACAAAUGUGACUCCUUGAAUAGCGCUGACUGAAUAAUUUUGAUAAGCCUAUAUAUGCAUAGAUAGGGCAAACAACGCUUUGUAAGAAUGCGUUCUAAUCGUAAAUGCGUUCAGCAACCGGUGACCCAGAAUGUUAAUACUUUCUCCUUCCUUAAGUAUUCUUUUGUUCUUCGUUCAAAUGCACCUGUAUUGUUCCCGCAACACACAACUGUUCCGUGACAAAGCGAUAACGGGUCACGAAGGUUCCAAUACAAUGUUCAGAGGAGAAUACUACCUACAUAAGUAAACACGUACGAACAGUCGCUGGUGGACCAUCGAAUUGAACUCCGAAAAUAAAACGAUACGUGGCUAAGUAGGCUGGAAGAGAAAAUUUGUUUCUCCUACUAUUUUUUUUUAAAGCUAUUCGAAACGUAACAUGUUCAAAAUGGAAAUAUAAUAGUGAUCAAUCAGCUACGUCAGAAUUAAAAUGAUUGAUGCGAUGGAUAUUUAAAGUCGUGUGUGGCAAAUAAUGCUUUUUUUGGAAUAUGUUCAUCGAUAGAGAAUUUUGAUAUUAUAUAAUUUUAUGUAUAUUAGUGUUAUUAAUAGAUAGUAUAAUUCAAUAAUGCUACAAUAUUAUCAGUAAUAGUAUAAGAUACUUAAAGCUUUUUGGAAUCUUGGCAAGUGUAGAAUUUUAUGUCUAUGAUAGGCUUUCAGUCUUUAAAGUUUGGUAAACUUCAACAUUUAUCAAAAUUUGAAAAUUUCAAAUAUAAAUAUAGGUAUAAUGAAUGUAAAUAUAGUUCAAGUAUAGAUAGAUACAAUAUUCAUGAAGUCUAACUUCAAUAAUGUUUGAAAUGAAAAGAUUAUGUCCAUCUAAAAAUAAUUAAGUUACACAGAUUAAGGAACCUGUUACGAUUAUUAUAAAAAAAAUUAAUUAUUAAAUAGCUGAUAACACAGAUAACAAAAUAAUCUGUUUAGAAUUCCAAUAAGACAAAAUGGUUUUCCAAAUAAGAUCUUUAAUUAGAGAUAAAGUACUCGCGUGUAAUACAAAGCUCGUUCUAAGCUAAAUAGCGAAACGUAAUUAGAAAAAAAUUAUGCUUGUGGUAAUGGUACAUUAGAAUUGCUAUUUCAUUACAACAAGGAACCUUGAGCCGUGAUGGUUAAGUAUUGAAACUAGAACGAUUGUUUCUUUUUUUUCUUUGGUAAGACUAACUCCAAUAAUUCCUUGAUUUACUGCAUCUUAUAAUCUUGUUAGUUAAUUAGCAUUUUCUUAUUUACAGCAUGUAUAGAGAAACAAAUUACGUAAACUUACGUAAAGAUAACAGGAUAUGAAGUGUAACAGGAUUAUCUUAUCGAAUGAAAAUAUAAAUUUGUUCAGCGAAGAAAUGAUAAAGCUAUAAUCAUGAAAGCGUAUGAAGACGGGAAAGAGAUACAAUAAAACGCGAUUUUCUGAGAUGAUGUUGGGAAAAAAGCACGCAAGAUCGUGCGACCACAAUAUUACCACACUGUGGAGAUUACAUUCGAGCAGGGAGACACCAGAUUUUCAUCGAUGUCGUUGCGAAAUCUCUAAUCGAAGGAAGUCAUCAUAGACUUGAACCGUGCCGGAAGCCUUGGAACUCGAAAGUGGACAACGAAAACUCCUGUGUGCAACUUGAACCUUAUCGUCACAUAGCCAAUCACCUCCUCCUCGUGAUAUCUUAAUUCCACGGAAUUGAGAUUCGAGUCAAAUGCAACAAAGAUGACCAUCUCAGAUUAAAAUUUAUGCGCGUCUGACUUCCCGCGGACCAGCAGAAGAAAAUUCAUUGACCUUAUUACUGGAAUGGUGGUCAUUUGCAUGCAAGUAAAGGCAUGAAUAAAAUUACUGAUAUUUGUCAUAUAUUAUAUGCUAAUCAUUCAUUGGAUUAUUUAUAACAAUUAUUAACAACGCGUUCAGUAUCGCGUGUUUCUCAUGUAAUUCAAACUUUUUAUUCAAGCUUUUGUUUUCAAUGCGUAUAACGUAAGUGGUGAUGUGAAUUACAUACGCAUAUAUGCAUAGUAAACGCGAUAUACUAAACACGACAUGCAUAAUAAAGCAAACUCAGCCUGUAAACAUCAAAACUACAUGUCAACAACUAAGCCAUAGAUCAUAUACUAGAAAAAUUGAAAUCAAAGGUACAUGAAAAAAUGUACAGCGCAAGGGGGAAAUAUGCAAUUUGCUUUAUGCAAAUAUUUUUCAAAAAAUUGCUCAGACCUCCAAAAAUGCACUGUUGUGAAUAUAUAAGUUAAACAAAAAUUAUGAAUCCGUUAUUUCUCAUUGUCAUAGUUCUAAUGUCAAUAUUUUAAUUGUAUAUUCUUGCAUCUUAAUCUUCUUUUUCGAAAUGCAUAAAAAUCUGAAAUUUACAGAACUCUAUUUAUAGCUUACACGCGAAUUACCGGAAUGGUAUCUAGCAAUUUAUAAAAUCAUUUGAAUAAUCAUACGCGUUAGCGUAUAAUUUGUAAUCUUGACUGAGGUUUCGAGUCCUUACUUUCUUAGUUUCUAUCGAUUCGCUCAGAUACCCGGGAACAUGUAACUGUUGACGAUUAAUUUGUUUUACAACAGUAUGUCGUGAAAGCCAGUAAAACAACUUACUUGAAUCCCCCAGAAGUCAGCAUCGUUGGAACAAUUUCGCGAAUUGUCUUGUCGGAAGUGGAGCAGCACGUUUAACGAUUAAUUUUCAUCAAAACGUUACGUGGAUCUUAAUGGCGACCGUUUAUGGUCAUUAUAUCAAAACGAUCUAACCAUGAUUGAUACCAGCACCAACGAUGGCAGCUGUAUCUGAUUUGGACGUUCUUCUAAUAAGACCCGACAAAAUCAUCCUCUUGGACCCGGAUAAACAGGCCACGUUGGAUAUUCUCGCAUUAAUAUCAAUUUCUUCGAUGCCACGAUAUUCAGAGAAGAUAGCCAAAGUCGUCUUAUUGAUUCUUGUUCCUCCAGCGUUGACAUUUCUUGCUGGAGAUCAAUCCGAUUACGCCAAUAGUUGGAACAGCUUCUUCUUCACGAGAUGUCCUUAUGAAUCGGCUCUUAUAGUUGGUAGAUAGUUUGACGUCUGUAAAUGAACGGAUAAUGAAUGAAGAAAGCUUGUUAAAAAAGAUUUAACAAGAUGGAACAAAUUUUUUAUUAUAGUUUUGCACAACAAUUAAUGAAGUAUUUAAUAGGUAUAAAUAGCUUGUUUGAAAGGUUGGUAACGCUAAUUUUCUGCAUACCAGUUGAGCUCUUGGGAAGUAGAAGUAGAACCCAAGGAAGAUAGUAGGAAGGAAGACAGAAAAAGAAAACAGAAAGGAAUUAGGUCAUUCCUGUUCCAAUCCUGAAAUCAGCAAGUAUAAAGAUUGAAAAAUGGUUAUGAAGAGUAACGUGAACGAUAUUCCUUCAGCGAAACAGAAUCCACUAUUUUCAUUUCUAAAAACUAUUACCACUCGAUUGUUUAUCGAUAAAAAAAAUCGCUGACGCCCUUGGGUUGAUUUGGAUGUUUCGCACGAUGCUCACGUAUUUCAUAUUUUCCUGCCUAUUUUUUGCAAACGUGACGAUUUUAAUUAACGCUGAGACACUAAUGAAGCUUAAAUCACCCGUCAACUAAUUGCCGAUAUUUAUUAUCUUCGGUAAUAAUACGUACAAUUAUCUGCAACAUGUAGCUUUGAGUAUACAGAUUGUUAAUAAAUUUUAAUUUCUCAUAAAAGAAAACGAACACAUUUUAUAAAAAAUUGUUUAAGUAAUAUUUAUUGGAAAUAUUUAAUUAAAUGAUAGUCAAAAAUGCUAUGAUUCAAAAACGUCGCUGAGCAACAAUCAUAUAGAAUGUCGAUAAUGAAAAAAUAUCUGUCGAUCCUGAUACUGUUGCAGAUGGUACAUUGAUGCUUAAUUGAUUAUGCGAAUCUAUUUCACUUCUUCAUCUUCUUUCAUUUGACAGCAGGCAGGAAGCCAGAGAUUCAAACCUUUCUCUCGAGCCUGCGACGAGUGGUCGAUUUCACUGGUUUCCCUUCUGUCUCACGCGUUUGUUCAUGUUCUUUGCGUUAUGAAGCAUCAGUGAUCUACCACGAUGACCAGAAAUAAAAUUAUCGAUAAGAAAACAAAGAUGUCUUUCACCGUACUGUUUAAACAAGAUGGAUAUAAUAAAACAAAAUAUCCUCUUAUGUUCAAAAUCGUUGUAUGACCUUCGUUUUAUUGAUAUUAUAUUUUGUUUUCACGAUAUUAUAUUUUAUAUCUCAUUUUUUAUAUGUCCAAUGGUACCGUAUUUAUAAUUGUCAUAAGAUAAUCGUUAUUAAUAUUAUGAAAUAAAAUUUUAUGCAAGCAUUAUCUUUCAUCUAAUAGUAAGAUUUUCAAAGAUAUAUCUCUUUUUCU